GAGGGGUGCAUUUGAAAGAGAGCAUUCUUGAUUUCCAUAUCAGAAUAGGGUAGCAGCAAAUCCUCAUUCAUAUAGCGCAUAACUUUCAUAGGAGUAGCACGAAAUACUUCAGAAAGCGCUGGAUCAUCUAUGCCUUCAGAUGUGAAGAUGGACUUGUAAUAGGUUACCAACAUGUUCUUUAUGGUAAUCGGUUCAGUUUGUAAAGUUCAUGUCUCGUCUAGGAGACCCUUGAUACUAUUUCUGCUUCUUCUAUUUGAGGCCUUUUUGUGAAAGAAAGCCGAGUUCCUAUCCCCAUCCUUCAACUACACCACUCGAGAACAUUGUCUCCAAUAUACUUCCUGUUGAGAGGAUCUGACUAUGUCGAACAUGAAGUAAACAUUUUGUUAUAUUGUUGUAGAGAGAAAGGCCUACACAUAAUAUCUUCUCAUUUCUCACGAAGCACCCUUAAUUCUACUUUUUGUUUCUGAAAUUCAAUGACAUGCCAUUUAAGCAAAUGUUUGCUUGUUGCAGAAAUCUUUCGACUAACUUGCUGAAGCAUGUUCCAGUGAUGGGAGAGAACCAUUGUCGCUGAAUGAUAUUGGUGCAUUCAUCAUUUCCAUGCCACAUUCCCCAAACCUAAAAUGCCCCAUCUAACUUGUAUCAUUGUAUGGGUUGGCAUCAAAACCACGAAAAAUAUCUGGUUUGGGCUCCUUCUCUCUGGUCUUUUAUUUUUUAUUUUUUUUAUUACUGUUGUGCUACUGCUACUGGCUAUCGCACCGGUUCGAACCCAUUCGAUGAAACCCAAUCGUCCCGUCGGUUUGAUCGAUUUUGAGUCCUUGAUCUUACUCUGAAGAAGAAGAAGAAUCACCCUGAUAGGCACUGAGAAAGUUUUGAGUUUGCUUUGCUGCCAUUUGUGGAUGCAUGUCAAUGUCAUCUUCUUCGAAACCAAGCAUCAAUUCGAUCUGAAUUGUAUCCUUCUGCUGUAAAUUUAGGAUCUUUGAAUACCUGUUCAUGAAUUACAUUGGAUUUUAUUUUUAUUUUUCAGGCCCUUCCUUUAUACCUUGAUGAAAUCUUUCACCCUGUUGUUGCCGUUUUGCUCUCUGUAACAUUUGUUCUAAUCUUCAGAGAGCUAUAUGCUCAAGAUAUGUUUGGGCUUUCUGUUGGCUUGUUCGCAUUCUGAUGAUCAUCUGCUAUCCAAUCGCCGCCUACCCAAUUGGAAAAGUGGGAUACCAUUGCCAAUAUUUUCUGAAUGGUGGCUGUUCAGUGACAAGUUUUCAGCAAUCGAUUCAUUUGUCCUAUCAUCAUUUCCUGGUGCAAUGUUCCAGGGAAUGAAUGGCUUGAGUGUUAAAUAUCAGGUUCUUGAUCUUGUACUUGGACAUGGAGAUGAUUUGUUCAGGCUAGCACAGUCGAAAGCCCUCGUCUCUAUUCACGACCAUGAGGCUGGAAAGGGAGGUGAACUAACACAUGACAACGAUUACAAUGGAGCGCUAGAUUUAACUGAAAAGACUGCCAAGGAGGCUAUGAAACCUAUUGAAUGAAGAUUGUGCUUGGAUGUUGAUUCAAAGUUAGACUGGGUGCAAUGGGGAAAAUUCUUGCACGUGUUAGAAUGUGUUGCUAAGCUUGUAGGAAAGGGUGCUUUAGCUGAAGGAGACAAGAUCACCUUAGAAACUGCAAAGCUGUUGAGAGAGAAUUCUCUCGCGCAGGAUGCAUUUACUCCGUAAGUUCCUCAUUUAAUCUUUUCUUUGAUGCAUAUCUACUUUUCACUUUGGUUGGGAUUAUUAGUCACUAAUGAUCAUUUACCUGUUGUAAGGGUGGACAGAUAUGAGAAAUUCUGCCCUUUCUAGUCUGUUUGGAUGAUGCAGAAUAUCAUCCAUUUCUUUAAUUUAGCAAAUCAGGUGAACUAUUCUGUUCAAAUCCUUUCUUAUAUGACCUACCAUUAUGUUUGAAGAAUUCAUGUCUAUUUAGGUUGAAGCAUUUUAGGGCAAGGAAAACAGAUAAUAAUAUUGUCUUUCCCGGUCUUCUUUCUGGGAACCAAUCCCAGAAAGGUGCAACUUCAUUAGAUGUGACCCAAAGGAUUUCCUUGCCAUAAUACCGAAAAGGUGGCCGUUGUGACACAAUUUAUCAUUCUGAAGACCCAGUGCGGAUGAAAUCCAAGUCUGAACAUUAUAGCCUCCAAGAAACACCACUCAACCCUAUCAUAAACCUUGGCCAUGUCAACUUUAUUAGAUGUUUAAUUAGAUAAGUGAACGUAUCAAUGUCUACAGGCUAUAGAGAGAGCAGCUGAUAUGAAUGAUCAAAAGAUCAAUUAUAGUAUAAUUGAGCACCGUAUGGGAGAUCUCUUUUACCGUCUAAUGUCUAAAAAUUUGAGGAACCUGCUGAAGGCGAACUAGCUCUUGUGGCAAAAUUUAAGAAGCUACACGAUUACUUGACGAUUUGAGGAUGUAACUCGAUAAUUGGACUUAGACAUUUUCUAGAUGGUUCUAGUUGCUGUUAUAAAUUGCAUGGUGAUGACAAUUGGAGUUACUGUGGUUUUUGUUGUGCAUGAAAAAAGGCAGUGUUAGGUUUUUGUGACGCCAUUUUUGCUUUACUUAUGUGGCGGUUGCUCUAGUUUGGAUGUGUAGUUUCAAUGAUUGUAUUCAUGUCACUCCCUUCAAGUUUUUACCCAGAAUAAGAGACGAUAUAUUUAAGCAA